CGAAUUUUUGGCUUCUUUGCACAAUUUAAGAGCAUUUAAGAGUAUUUAAGAGCACAGAAGCCUGUCGGGUCUUCAUGUUAGGGUGGGUCCCAGGGUGUUUCAUCAGGAGGAGAAAAAGCUCUUUGACGUUAUAGGAAGGAUAAAUCAAUAUCAGCUAACAAACAUUUGCUAAGGUUAGCAAUACUUGCUAAGCAACCCAGUUGUCCCAUAACCCAGCUAGCUAGCUAACCCUAGCUAACAUGAGCGGAUUUCUGACGUAUUUCAAUUUACAUAUAUCUCAGAUGUUCAUAAUGCUCACCAAUAAUGCUAGUUAUCUAACUGACAUGAGCUAGCUAAACAGGAUUUCUAAGAGGUUUUAAUGUCAUAUGUAUUAGCUGUAUCAUAUUUCAUGCUAAAGCUAGCUAGCUAGAUCACUGACAGCUUUUCCAAAAGGAUUUUGAGUCACAAUGUUUAUACUCACUGCUAACGAUUGUAGCAUAUUUCUUUCUGUUAACGCAAGCUAGUUAGUUAGCAUGAGCUAAUCUGGCAUGAUUUCUGAGAGGAUUUAAAGUCAUAUUCCUUCAUUCUGUCAUACUUCUUGCAUAUGCUUGGCAGGAUUUCUAAGAGGAUGUUAAGUCGAGAAAGAGGAUUUUUUUUUUUUUUUUUUUAAAGAAAGAGGAUUUCAUGAAUGUUCAGAAUCUUCAUUGCUAAUGCUAGCAAGCUUUCUAACAUAAUAAAAUAUAUUACACAUGAAAUAUAUUAUAGAUAAUAUAUAAAUAUACAUAAUAGAUCAAUUAAAAUCCUGACAGGAUUUUAAUUUAUAUAUUACAAGUGGUCAUAACGCUUAUUUAAAUAUGCUUGUUAUCUAGCUAAAAUGAGCUAACCUGACAGGAUUUUUAAGAUGAUUUAAAGUCAUAUCCAUAAAUGUUUACAGUAUCUUCCUAAUACAAGUGAGGUAACCUGGCAGGAUUUCUGAGAGGAUGUUAUCACAGCUUUUUUUUUAAAAAAUAAUUAUUUAUUUAUGCCUGUUAUUCAGUGACUACAAUGACACCCCCCCCCCACCCCACCACCACCAUUCUAUGUAAACACUUUGAGUGUUUAGAAAAGCGCUAUAUAAAUGUAACUGUAACUAAAUUAUUCAACUUGAAACAAGUUUUAUACAAGAAUGAGGAAUGUAAACAUUAUCUUCACUACUAAUGCUAGCUAGUUAACGAGCUAACGACAGGAUAUAGGCUGUACGAAAAGUACUUUUUGAGUGUGAUUGUAAAACUUUUGAGAGAUGGCUGUCUCGUCCUGUUCAGUCUGCUCAUAUGGACAGAUUACUGGGACACGGUGUACCUUCAGUUGGCAGUGGCAGGAUGAUUUAUGAAUAACAAAUACAUUCCAGGACUUUCUGAACACAAGGUAACUCAGGGAAUGAUACAGGGGCUGAGCUUUACUAAAGUAAGUUCUCAGAUUUAUGAAACACUACUAGGAUCAAAGAAAAGAAAGAUGCCAGGAUGUGUUAUUAAGACGUUAUUACUAUUUAUUACAGUCAUAAAAACAGACCUUGCACUGUGCAUGAUUCAUACAAAAAAAAAAAAAAUUAUUCACAGAUUGAGUUGUGAUGGAAGGUGAAAAGGAUGAGGAGGGGAAAUUGAAAUUGCACCAUCCUCGUUCCAAUCCCAUCUUCAAUCUUCCAUCCUCACUUGUUUUGUAUCUGCUUUCUUUGUUCCGAUCCGUCUCCUUCUACUCCUCUAUCUGAUUCAGUUCAUCUGAUGGUCUCUGGCUCAUUCUGUCUUCCCUUUGUCACUCUUCAAUUCUCCUCCACAUCCCACCUCUUUCUUCACUUUUUUUUUUUUUUUUUUACUGUCGCAGAAGUAAGCGGCACUUUGUAAUUCGAGGCCAGGAGAGCGUGUGCUUUAACCUGCUGCAAUCUCUGACCUCUGACUCGUUUGCACUCACUGACUCAUCACUGCAGGACAUUCGAUCCUGCCUGGCAAGGCAGCUGGCAUCAUUUAAUGCCCAUCACUGGUCCAGAAAUAGUUUAGCUCACACAACACGGUCUUAUGAUUGUACGUUAAUAAGAACUCUAAUUUAAAUAUACGCAAAUAAUUACGGUUAAUAAUGAGGCACAGGAUUAAUGGUUGUAGUUAUUGCUUUGGACGAACCCGGAAAUUUUCGACAUAAAACCCUACAGCGGAGUGGUUCUCUAUCAGAGAAGGUUCCAAGUAAAACUCCUUUAAAAAGCUAAGGAAUGCUUAUAUGGGCAUGCUGUUAUAUGAAAAUAAUGAAUGACAAAAAAAUGAAAAAAAAAAGAUUAUUUUUUAAGCCAACCGUUACGGUUUUCAUUUAUUAAAGAAUGGCACAUUGUACUUUUAUCCAUUAAUUGUUACAUUUACUGUUGUGGAACAUCCACAAAACAAGUUAGUUCCGUUUAUCACUUAGGUUAUGACAGCUAUAAACAGUCAUUCCUUCACCAGGGUUCAGGUGGUGUUGGCAGCUCAGCGGAUAAGACAUUGGGUUUUCUGAUUGGAAGGUUGUGAGUUCAAAUCCCACCACUGCUGGGGCCUUAACACUUGGCUGUAUAAAUGAGAUAAAUGUAAGGCAGUCUGUAUAAGGGCGUCUGCCAAAUUCUGUAAAUGCUACAAAGCACUCACACUGGAGACUACUUCCAUAAAUGUUAAACCAACAGUUCCAUUUUUCCAAGUUUUCCUACAGCAAAUUAGAGUGUCUACUAUACAAGUCCCUAUGUUAGUUGUUACUAUAGAAAGGUAACACAUAACAGCAAACGUACAUUAAUAUGAACCUUGCAACUGGAAAUACUGUCAGAGCUGCUGUUAGAGAAAAUUAAUCAACACUUCCCGACGAAUCAUAACUGAGUAUUCAACAGCACUGUGCUGUUAUAAGAAUGCUCCACUAUCCAAAGAACCUCGUUUUGCAUGCUAUGGUCAAACGAGUCAAAUUUGUGAACUACAAAUGGUACGAAUUUGAAUGCUUUACUGCCUUUCCACUUAGCCAGGUAGCCUUGACUUCGCUGCCAGUUACAGAUGGUCGUUAGAUCCUGUAUACAAAGGAGACUAUUAACUUUCUGUAGUGACUCAUAUGAAAAGGUGAGGUGACUUAAUAUGUCUUAAAGGAAGCACUGAUUAGAUUUCAUCCUUUUGGACUGGCAACUGUUGAACGAUAGAGAAAUGGAAAUUUUUGUUAUGGCUAAAAUGGUGAAGAAAAAAAAAAUAUUUGUAAAAUAAAUACAUAAAUUAAUAAAUAAAUAAAAGCUCAAAUGAAAUGUGGUGUGAUAUGACGUUGCUACUGCCAAGAGUCCAUCCAAACCACCAGAAAUCUGAUCACAGAGCAGCGGGUGAGCUCAUUUCUGCGAUAGGUUUUUUUUGUUGUUGUUGAUCCAGUAGAUUUUACAAUUCAUCCAGAUAAUCUAUGAUUAAAGCAUCUAUGGGAAAAUAUGCUUUUGUUUAUAUCCUGGAGGAAUGAUUAAGGACAAGCUCGAGUUCUCCAGCUUGUUUUGCUCAGCAUGAAAUGAGUCCUCCUAGUUUCUUAGCUUUCCAAAAAAGCAAAAAAACAACAAAAAAAAGCCCUCAACGGUAAUAAAACAUAAAGCCAUGGAUCAUCCAAGAGACGAGAGCUGGAUGGGGGUGGGGGUGAAAUGCAACAGUACAGUAGUUGAGGUUUUCUUGUGAUAAUUAUUUGGACCAGAUUGUUUCUUUUUUGAUUAGUUGCAGUUGGGUUUGUUUGCAUUCCAAAGGUCAGUCGUUGUGGUUGGAACAGCAGCUUGGCUUCUGCUUGCCUAAGAGUCAUUUGAGGUGAAAAGAUGGCGGCAGGCAGAGCGCUGCCAUCCGUCUCCUCUGAUCCUUCAUCUCUCUCUCUUUUUAUCCCCCCCCCAACUGUCUUUCUUUAUGGCGGUGGCAGACGGAGGUGUGAGUGCUACAUAAAUGCAUUUAUUUGCCGUUUUCUUUGCGUGUGGCAUAGGGAUUCAAAGAGAACAAGUAGUAGAAGGGGGCGGAUGGAGUCAUGUUUCCACGAAUGCCACACUUCAGUCUGUUUUUGCUCAUAUAUAGCAUGGAAUUCUGGGAAAAGGCUGACGUUCGAUUCAAAAUUGCAACAGUAGAAAAGUUAGCUCUGUUGUCUAUGGUGAGAAAAAAAAAAUUUAAAUAAAAACCCAAGGAAUCAUAGUUCAAAUGUAGUCUUAAGAAAUAAAUUAAAAUGCACACUUACCCCCUAAUAGGUGCAACAUCUGCCCUUAUUCAUGUGAGGUGACAGGCAGGCCACGUCAAGUUAAAUAAGGAUAACAAUAAUCAGAAACUAACUCAACAAGAGUUUAAAUAGGACAAACUAAACAGAACUGUGCACAGAACAGGUGAACACAAUCAGGCAACAAACCAAUGACAUGACAGGGGUGGAGACAAGAAUAGAACAUGACCACAUGGUGUUCAUUGCUAUCGGAACCAUGAGGUAAAGGAGGGAAGCAUGAGAUGUAAACUGUUACAGAAAAUCAAUCAAUCAAUCAAGCAUCUGACCAAUCAGAUCUGAGAAUUUAACAGUGCCAUGGGAUCGUUUUGGGAUGAGAUCACUCCUCUGAACAUAUGGACUUUACGACCUUGAAUUCAGAUCAAACUUGCGUUCGAUUUGUGCAACUGGCAGCAGAAAAUCAACAUGCUAAAGCAACUCGGAGGUUCCCUCGAAGGCCCUGAGUUAAACAAAUGAAGAGAAUGAAAUCAGAUGUCGCAAAGUUUGCUGCGUUUAUUACAGUUUAAAAGGGUUAAUCUUCUCCAUCCUUCUUGAAGAAUGUGACUUGGCUGAGGUGAAACGGCCCAUGUGAUUUGCACACUAUCAAUUAUAGGCCUUUAACAAAUGAAACCAGAUGCCUGUUGACUGUGUGUGUGUGUGUGUGUGUGUGUGUGCGCGCGUGUGUUUGUGUGUGUGUCUGUUUUAUGUGUCUCAUGACUGGCGUUUAGAACACCCUGAAGUAAACAGUGUUUUGUGUGCGCGUCUGCACGCGCGCGUGCGUGUGUGUGUGUGUGUGUGUGUGUGAAAGAAGAGACUCAUGCUGCCUUGCAUGCAACAAGAGCACCGUUGGUGGGUUUGCAAUCCAGACAACACCUAGUAAACAUAAUAAAUGCUAAUGAAUGUUUAUUUCUGAAAAUUUGGAAGAAGAUUUUAAGGCAUUCAGUGAUCUGUGACUCACUGUGCUUUGAAUGUACAAUUAACACCAGUUAUAUCUCGCCGAUUGGUUACAUUAAACACAAUAUCGAAUCAGAACUGCUCUUAAGUGGGAAAUUGUGCAAAUCUGUGUAUCAAUUUGUGGAUCCUGGUUUUGAGUGGCCCACUUUAAAAAGCAUACAAAUUGCAUGUUAAACACCUGCAGAUGUGUUGAACACGUUGCUAGUGAAAUAAAGUGCUAGAGUGAGUGAACGUGUAAUGCUGUUUUCACGUGAUCUGCCUUUAUUAGUCAUUCCCAUGCACAGUGUGGGACGGGGUGCUAUAAUAUCCCUACGCCUUUGGCCAUAUGGAAUGAUCUCAUUCAUAAUUCAUUUGCAUUCAGACUCUUAUUGAUGACCCGUUGAAUUCAGACAUUUUAUUAAUGUGCCUUUUUUUCAGUGCCUCUUAUUAAUGUUCCUUGUCAACACACUAUAAUUUUGUUGCUUCUCAGCUGGGGUUUCUGAAAUAUCCGCUCUGAAUCUUAAUCAGCUUCAGCAUUGUCCAGUCGUUGAUUAAGUUUCGUCAUCAUCAUCAUCAUUCAUCUGUCUAUUUGAUCUAAUUACAGAACUAGCACACACCCGUGACUCAUAGACUAGUGUGCCAGUUUCAGGAAUAUUCUGGAUUUCGGUCAUUUUGUCCAUUAAAUCCGUCUCUUAUUUGUCCUUACGUUCUUACGUACACGCUCGAACGCCAUCUUCCAUCUUUACGUACAGCUUAACCUCGAUCUCAUUAAAAAUAAUAAUUAUUCACAAAUAAGAAAUCAAGAAAAAGAUCUAAACAGAAACCCCACACUUUAUCCCGGAUCUUAUCCUUGGUAAGAUUUCGUGCAGAUCGAAAUAUUAGAAAUGUAGAAGUAUAAGAUAAGUUUGCUUCACUGAAGAAGGUUAAAAAAAAAAAAAACCUUGAUAUUAUACAAAUUUCAAUAAUCCAGUAUUUAUAAAAUUGUUUUUAUAAAAUUGAGUCUCCAGUGUCAGUGCUUUGUAACAGCAUGUAUAAAAUUGUUCAGAAUGGAAGAUUUUGUGGUUUAAAAUGACAAGCUGUGGGUUUUUUGGUGAGGGAACAGUUGUUUAUAGCUAUCUUAUGUAACUUCUUUUGAGACGCACAAGCUAAUAGGGGCUAAUUGCUAUGGUCUAAGAAGAAUAAAACACUUUAUAACCACUUUAUAAUGGUAACAGUUUCUCGCUUAACGUCAGGCCGCAUCACUCCAAACAGUCACUGAUUAUUUUUCUUUAACAGCAUGCCUCCGGAUGUUUUACUCCUUACUUAACACUCGGGGCGAUAUGCAAAUCAGGAGCUCGUGUCAUAACCGAUCUCCACAGACUUGUAAACAUCACCGUGAAUGCGCCGCUCUGUUCAGUUAAACCAGGCAAAUGACAGAGUUACUGUGCGUGGAGUCUAACGGUGCGGAAAAAUCCUGACAAGAAAAUCUCACACCUGCGGCAAAAGUCGAUGUGCUGUUGCGUUAAGCGAUACACACCUUAUGUCAUAACAUCAGUCUGCUGGCAGAUGACAUAAUUAUUACCUCCGUGUGUUUAUAAUGAUGGCAUCACUGACUGCUGAGGUCUGUAAAUGUAUGGGUAUACACAUACUAAUGUGAAGUGUGUUCACCUACAGGUCUCUCUCACACACACACACACACACACACGCACACACACACACACACACACGCACACACUUAUUUCUAUUUAAUUAAAACCACUUUUUAUUUUCACGUGCGUAAUGACAAGAGUUUAUGAUGGUGUGUAUUUUCUCUUCAGGGAACGUGUAUUGAUUCUGUUAUUAACAUAAAUGAAGGUGUGUGUGGGUGUGUGUGUGGGUGAAUGUGUGGGUGUGUGAAGUUGUGUGUGGGGUGGAGGUGGACAUGGUGUGGGUUUGUGUUAGAUGGGCAUUUCAGUGCCUCCCAGCAUGUUUGCAAUUGGG
ensembl:lncRNA